GACUUUAUCGGUCUCCGAAUGCUCUCAGAUUAGUAGUUUGAUCAUGGCUCAGAUUGAACGCUGGCGGCAUGCCUUACACAUGCAAGUCGAACGGUAACAGGUCUUCGGACGCUGACGAGUGGCGAACGGGUGAGUAAUACAUCGGAACGUGCCCAGUCGUGGGGGAUAACUACUCGAAAGAGUAGCUAAUACCGCAUACGAUCUGAGGAUGAAAGCGGGGGACCUUCGGGCCUCGCGCGAUUGGAGCGGCCGAUGGCAGAUUAGGUAGUUUGGUGGGAUAAAAGCUUACCAAGCCGACGAUCUGUAGCUGGUCUGAGAGGACGACCAGCCACACUGGGACUGAGACACGGCCCAGACUCCUACGGGAGGCAGCAGUGGGGAAUUUUGGACAAUGGGCGAAAGCCUGAUCCAGCAAUGCCGCGUGCAGGAUGAAGGCCUUCGGGUUGUAAACUGCUUUUGUACGGAACGAAAAAGCUCCUUCUAAUACAG
rnacentral:rRNA from 1 species